rnacentral:rRNA from 1 species
CCUACGGGAGGCAGCAGUGGGGAAUAUUGGGCAAUGGGCGCAAGCCUGACCCAGCAACGCCGCGUGAAGGAAGAAGGCUUUCGGGUUGUAAACUUCUUUUGUCAGGGAAGAGUAGAAGACGGUACCUGACGAAUAAGCCACGGCUAACUACGUGCCAGCAGCCGCGGUAAUACGUAGGUGGCAAGCGUUGUCCGGAUUUACUGGGUGUAAAGGGCGUGUAGCCGGGUUGACAAGUCAGAUGUGAAAUCCUGCGGCUUAACCGCAGAACUGCAUUUGAAACUAUUGAUCUUGAGUACUGGAGAGGCAGACGGAAUUCCUAGUGGAGCGGUGAAAUGCGUAGAUAUUAGGAGGAACACCAGUGGCGAAGGCGGUCUGCUGGACAGCAACUGACGGUGAGGCGCGAAAGCGUGGGGAGCAAACAGGAUUAGAUACCCCAGUAGUC